UGUUAAUAUUCCUGUACUUCUGGUUACUGCGAUGGAGGGACGGAGAAGGCUAGGCCAGCUUGGCGUUGGUUGUCCAAGUUUAAGGUGGUAGGCUGAAAUCUUAGGUAAAUCCGGGGUUUCAAGGCCGAGAGCUGAUGACGAGUCGUCUUUUAGAUGACGAAGUGGUUGAUGCCAUGCUUCCAAGAAAAGCUUCUAAGCUUCAGGUAACCAGGAACCGUACCCCAAACCGACACAGGUGGUCGGGUAGAGAAUACCAAGGCGCUUGAGAGAACUCGGGUGAAGGAACUAGGCAAAAUGGCACCGUAACUUCGGGAGAAGGUGCGCCGGCUAGGGUGAAGGAUUUACUCCGUAAGCUCUGGCUGGUCGAAGAUACCAGGCCGCUGCGACUGUUUAUUAAAAACACAGCACUCUGCAAACACGAAAGUGGACGUAUAGGGUGUGACGCCUCCCCGGUGCCGGAAGGUUAAUUGAUGGGGUUAGCGCAAGCGAAGCUCUUGAUCGAAGCCCCGGUAAACGGCGGCCGUAACUAUAACGGUCCUAAGGUAGCGAAAUUCCUUGUCGGGUAAGUUCCGACCUGCACGAAUGGCGUAACGAUGGCGGCGCUGUCUCCACCCGAGACUCAGUGAAAUUGAAAUCGCUGUGAAGAUGCAGUGUAUCCGCGGCUAGACGGAAAGACCCCGUGAACCUUUACUGUAGCUUUGCACUGGACUUUGAGCCUGCUUGUGUAGGAUAGGUGGGAGGCUUUGAAGCGUGGACGCCAGUUCGCGUGGAGCCAUCCUUGAAAUACCACCCUGGCAUGCUUGAGGUUCUAACUCUGGUCCGUAAUCCGGAUCGAGGACAGUGUAUGGUGGGCAGUUUGACUGGGGCGGUCUCCUCCUAAAGAGUAACGGAGGAGUACGAAGGUGCGCUCAGACCGGUCGGAAAUCGGUCGCAGAGUAUAAAGGCAAAAGCGCGCUUGACUGCGAGACAGACACGUCGAGCAGGUACGAAAGUAGGUCUUAGUGAUCCGGUGGUUCUGUAUGGAAGGGCCAUCGCUCAACGGAUAAAAGGUACUCCGGGGAUAACAGGCUGAUACCGCCCAAGAGUUCAUAUCGACGGCGGUGUUUGGCACCUCGAUGUCGGCUCAUCACAUCCUGGGGCUGAAGCCGGUCCCAAGGGUAUGGCUGUUCGCCAUUUAAAGUGGUACGCGAGCUGGGUUUAGAACGUCGUGAGACAGUUCGGUCCCUAUCUGCCGUGGACGUUUGAGAUUUGAGAGGGGCUGCUCCUAGUACGAGAGGACCGGAGUGGACGAACCUCUGGUGUUCCGGUUGUCACGCCAGUGGCAUUGCCGGGUAGCUAUGUUCGGAAAAGAUAACCGCUGAAAGCAUCUAAGCGGGAAACUUGCCUCAAGAUGAGAUCUCACUGGGAACUUGAUUCCCCUGAAGGGCCGUCGAAGACUACGACGUUGAUAGGCUGGGUGUGUAAGCGUUGUGAGGCGUUGAGCUAACCAGUACUAAUUGCCCGUGAGGCUUGACC
rnacentral:rRNA from 1 species